GACGAACGCUGGCGGCAGGCCUAACACAUGCAAGUCGAACGAGUGGCGGACGGGUGAGUAAUGCCUGGGAAACUGCCCGAUGGUGGGGGAUAACUACUGGAAACGGUAGCUAAUUCCGCAUACCCUCGUAUUAGCCCAGAUGUGAUUAGCUAGUAGGGGGGGUAACGGCUCACCUGGGCGACGAUCCCUAGCUGGUCUGAGAGGCUGACCGGCAACACUGGAACUAGAACACGGUCAAGACUCUUACGGGAGGCAGCAGUGGGGAAUAUUGCACAAUGGGCAAAAGCCUGAUGCAGCCAUGCCGCGUGUAUGAAGAAGGCCUUCGGGUUGUAAAGUACUUUCAGCGGGGAGGCGUUACUCGCAGAAGAAGCACCGGCUAACUCCGUGCCAGCAGCCGCGGUAAUAC
rnacentral:rRNA from 1 species